GGGCAUACUUCCCAGAUCUGGACAUCAAAGACACAGAUGAGAGCAAGAGGGAUGCGAAGAUGACAGCAAGAAAGAAGGCAGGAUCAGGACAAAGAAAGGAAGCAAGCAAAAUGCAAGACAAAAUAAAAGGGCAAAUGGGGAAAGCCUUAAGAACUCUGGUUUUAAGUGGUCUGAUAAUUAAAUAACAAGGGUUUGGUGGGGGAGCCCACCUUUCAAAAUCCCCGCCAAUGGCAAAGCUAUGAAAACCCAAAUAGCGGGGCGCCUGGGUGGCGCAGUCGGUUAAGUGUCCGACUUCAGCCAGGUCACGAUCUCGCGGUCCGUGAGUUUGAGCCCCGCGUCGGGCUCUGGGCUGAUGGCUCAGAGCCUGGAGCCUGUUUCCGAUUCUGUGUCUCCCUCUCUCUCUGCCCCUCUCCCGUUCAUGCUCUCUCUCUCUGUCCCAAAAAUUAAAAAACAAAAAACAAACAAAAAACAAAAACAAAAAAAAAACGUUGAGAAAACCCAAAUAGCAAACAUUUACUCAGAAUUAACACGGAACAGAUCCCAUCAAGCAACCUUGGGGCUGUUUCUGGAGUCUUACCUUAAUGUCUUGUGUGGCACUGGGGCCCAGGCGGGUACUAGACCUGGCGUAAUAUGCUAAACAAAUCUAAUGGUGUGCUUUAUUUUCCCCCCUCAGCAGAACUCUUAAUUACGUAUGUUGCAAAUGCACAGAGAAAAUGGAUUAGCCAGAGCAGCUGUUCGAUGCUGGAGCGGCACCCUCCCCAGAAGGCUUCGCAAGGAGACUGUGAGGAGGCCCCACAGGCCGGGCCGGGGAGCUGGCAGGAGUCCGGGAAGAGCAGGAAAUGGUGCUAUAGGGCAAGAAAAUCAUUGAGUGGUGUGCUUUUCCUGUGCCCACAAGAACUACGAUGUCAGGAUAAAGGCUGACGUUGGGAGAAGGCAACCAAGAUUGUCAGAGCGGACAAGCAGACCUUCUCCUAACACUGGUGUUGGGGGAGGGGGCAAGGCAACCAAGUCCCCCAAAUCACAGGUCUAAAUGCUUAAAAGGUACAAUGAAUAUAACAAACUGAUAAAAUACGCUUGUCCCCCUACCUUGACAAAUACAUCUUCAUGAUGACAAAAUUGAAAAAUCUAGGUGUAAAACCACAGAUUUCUUUUUAUAUGACUUAAAGUUGGCAACUCUUAAAGAUAGAUGAAUUUAAUCAUUAUUGCACAUGUUUGGGAGCUGACAAUGUUUGGAUGAGUAAUAAAACAAAGAUAAAAUAAUUCA
rnacentral:lncRNA from 1 species